rnacentral:rRNA from 1 species
GCCCUAUGGGCCGUACAUUGCCAAUACAUGGGAAGAAACUUCCCCUUGUGAGGGGAUCUGACGGUACCAUGAGAAUAAGACCCGGCUAACUCCCUGUCACCACCCGCGCUAAUACGGAGAGUCCGAGCGUUAUCCGGAAUCACUGGGUUUAAAGGGUCCGUAGGUGGGCCAUUAAGUCAGGGGGGAAAGUCCCCGGCUCAACCGUAGAAUUGCCUUUGAUUCUGGUGGUCUUGAGUCGUUGUCGGGUUGCCGGAACAUGUGGUGUAGCGGUGAAAUGCAUAGAUAUCACAUAGCACCCCGAUCGCGAAGGCAGGUGACCAACAACGUCCUGACACUGAUGGCCGAAAGCGUGGGUAGCAAACGGGAUUAGAUACCCCGGUAGUCCACGCCGUAACCGAUGGAUACUAGAUGUGGGGACGUCGGUCUCCGUGGCCAAGCGAAAGUGAUACGUAUUCCACUCGGGCCGUACGCUCGCAUGAAGGACCCUCAAC